AUGGCGCAAGAUAAUACCACAUUGUGUGAUUUCUCGAAUACCAAUAAUAAUGAUUUCCUUAGUACUCCGAUUGCUCCUCUUAAUGAUGUUGAGUCUUGUGAAAUCAAUACUGCUUUGCUGAAUCUUGUUAUGAAAGAUCAAUUCACCGGCCUUCCUAGUGAAGAUGUCGCUACUCAUCUAAACAGCUUUGUUGAUUUGUGUGAUAUGCAAAAGAAGAAAGAUACGGAUAACAAUAUUGUCAAAUUGAAGUUAUUUCCGUUUUCACUUAGAGAUCGUGCUAAAGUUUGGUUUUCGUCUUUGCCUAAAAAUAGUAUUGAUUCUUGGAACAAGUGCAAAGAUGCUUUUAUCUCUAAGUAUUUUCCUCCCGCUAAGAUUAUCACUCUUAGGAAUGAUAUUAUGAAUUUUAAACAACUUGAUCAUGAGCAUGUUGCCCAAUCUUGGGAAAGAAUGAAAUUGAUGCUUCGCAAUUGCUCUACUCAUGGUUUGAAUUUAUGGAUGAUCAUACAAAAAUUUUAUGCCGGUUUGAACUUUGCUUCUAGAAAUCUCUUAGACUCGGCCGCAAGAGGCACGUUUAUGGAAAUCACGUUAGGAGAUGCUACAAAACUUCUUGAUAAUAUUAUGGAUAAUUAUUCUCAAUGGCACACCUAA
rnacentral:rRNA from 1 species